CUUGCGGUCAUAUUGCGUUGAAAUACCGGUUCUCGUAAGAGCAGCGCAGUUAAGCAACGUCGAGCCUGGCCCGUAUUUAGAUGAGCGACCGUUUCGGAAUAUCAGGUGAUGUAAG